GCCAGUGGGGUGCAGUGGUUUGAGUGCUAGACUACAACUCUGGAGACCAAGGUUUGAUUCCCAGCUUGGCA